GACGAACGCUGGCGGCGUGCCUAAUACAUGCAAGUAGAACGCUGAAGCGAGGAGCUUGCUCUUCUUGGAUGAGUUGCGAACGGGUGAGUAACGCGUAGGUAACCUGCCUUGUAGCGGGGGAUAACUAUUGGAAACGAUAGCUAAUACCGCAUAACAAUGGAUGGCACAUGUCAUUUAUUUGAAAGGGGCAAUUGCUCCACUACAAGAUGGACCUGCGUUGUAUUAGCUAGUAGGUGAGGUAAUGGCUCACCUAGGCGACGAUACAUAGCCGACCUGAGAGGGUGAUCGGCCACACUGGGACUGAGACACGGCCCAGACUCCUACGGGAGGCAGCAGUAGGGAAUCUUCGGCAAUGGGGGCAACCCUGACCGAGCAACGCCGCGUGAGUGAAGAAGGUUUUCGGAUCGUAAAGCUCUGUUGUAAGUCAAGAACGGGUGUGAGAGUGGAAAGUUCACACUGUGACGGUAGCUUACCAGAAAAGGACGGCUAACUACGU
rnacentral:rRNA from 1 species